CAGGCUUAACACAUGCAAGUCGAGGGGCAGCAUGGUCUUAGCUUGCUAAGGCCGAUGGCGACCGGCGCACGGGUGAGAAACACGUAUCCAACCUGCCGUCUACUCUUGGACAGCCUUCUGAAAGGAAGAUUAAUACAAGAUGGCAUCAUGAGUCCUCAUGUUCACAUGAUUAAAGGUAUUCCGGUAGACGGUGGGGAUGCGUUCCAUUAGAUAGUAGGCGGGGUAACGGCCCACCUAGUCUUCGAUGGAUAGGGGUUCUGAGAGGAAGGUCCCCCACAUUGGAACUGAGACACGGUCCAAACUCCUACGGGAGGCAGCAGUGAGGAAUAUUGGUCAAUGGGCGAGAGCCUGAACCAGCCAAGUAGCGUGAAGGAUGACUGCCCUAUGGGUUGUAAACUUCUUUUAUAAAGGAAUAAAGUCGGGUAUGGAUACCCGUUUGCAUGUACUUUAUGAAUAAGGAUCGGCUAACUCCGUGCCAGCAGCCGCGGUAAUACGGAGGAUCCGAGCGUUAUCCGGAUUUAUUGGGUUUAAAGGGAGCGUAGAUGGAUGUUUAAGUCAGUUGUGAAAGUUUGCGGCUCAACCGUAAAAUUGCAGUUGAUACUGGAUAUCUUGAGUGCAGUUGAGGCAGGCGGAAUUCGUGGUGUAGCGGUGAAAUGCUUAGAUAUCACGAAGAACUCCGAUUGCGAAGGCAGCCUGCUAAGCUGCAACUGACAUUGAGGCUCGAAAGUGUGGGUAUCAAACAGGAUUAGAUACCCUGGUAGUCCACACGGUAAACGAUGAAUACUCGCUGUUUGCGAUAUACUGCAAGCGGCCAAGCGAAAGCGUUAAGUAUUCCACCUGGGGAGUACGCCGGCAACGGUGAAACUCAAAGGAAUUGACGGGGGCCCGCACAAGCGGAGGAACAUGUGGUUUAAUUCGAUGAUACGCGAGGAACCUUACCCGGGCUUAAAUUGCAGAUGAAUUACGGUGAAAGCCGUAAGCCGCAAGGCAUCUGUGAAGGUGCUGCAUGGUUGUCGUCAGCUCGUGCCGUGAGGUGUCGGCUUAAGUGCCAUAACGAGCGCAACCCUUGUUGUCAGUUACUAACAGGUUCCGCUGAGGACUCUGACAAGACUGCCAUCGUAAGAUGUGAGGAAGGUGGGGAUGACGUCAAAUCAGCACGGCCCUUACGUCCGGGGCUACACACGUGUUACAAUGGGGGGUACAGAGGGCCGCUACCACGCGAGUGGAUGCCAAUCCCCAAAACCUCUCUCAGUUCGGACUGGAGUCUGCAACCCGACUCCACGAAGCUGGAUUCGCUAGUAAUCGCGCAUCAGCCACGGCGCGGUGAAUACGUUCCCGGGCCUUGUACACACCGCCCGUCAAGCCAUGGGAGCCGGGGGUACCUGAAGUGCGUAACCGCGAGGAGCGCCCUAGGGUAAAACUGGUGACUGG
rnacentral:rRNA from 1 species